AACUUUCAACAACGGAUCUCUUGGUUCUCGCAUCGAUGAAGAACGCAGCGAAUCGCGAUACGUGGUAUGACUUGCAGACGUGAAUCAUUGAAUCUUUGAACGCACAUUGCGCCUGGAGGCAUUCCUCCAGGCAUGCCUGUUUGAGCGUCGUU
rnacentral:rRNA from 1 species